CCUACGGGGGGCAGCAGUGGGGAAUAUUGGACAAUGGGCGAAAGCCUGAUCCAGCCAUGCCGCGUGUGUGAAGAAGGCCUUCGGGUUGUAAAGCACUUUCAGUGGGGAAGAAAGCCUUGGGGCUAAUACCCUCGAGGAAGGACAUCACCUACAGAAGAAGCACCGGCUAACUCCGUGCCAGCAGCCGCGGUAAUACGGAGGGUGCGAGCGUUAAUCGGAAUUACUGGGCGUAAAGCGCGCGUAGGCGGUCUGAUAAGCCGGUUGUGAAAGCCCCGGGCUCAACCUGGGAACGGCAUCCGGAACUGUCAGGCUAGAGUGCAGGAGAGGAAGGUAGAAUUCCCGGUGUAGCGGUGAAAUGCGUAGAGAUCGGGAGGAAUACCAGUGGCGAAGGCGGCCUUCUGGACUGACACUGACGCUGAGGUGCGAAAGCGUGGGUAGCAAACAGGAUUAGAUACCCCAGUAGUC
rnacentral:rRNA from 1 species